AUUGAACGCUGGCGGCAUGCCUUACACAUGCAAGUCGAACGGUAACAGGGAGCUUGCUCCGCUGACGAGUGGCGAACGGGUGAGUAAUGUAUCGGAACGUACCAUUCAGUGGGGGAUAACGUAGCGAAAGUUACGCUAAUACCGCAUAUUCUGUGAGCAGGAAAGCAGGGGAUCGCAAGACCUUGCGCUGAUUGAGCGGCCGAUAUCAGAUUAGCUAGUUGGUGAGGUGAAGGCUCACCAAGGCGACGACGGGUAGCCGGCCUGAGAGGGUGACCGGCCACACUGGGACUGAGACACGGCCCAGACUCCUACGGGGGGCAGCAGUGGGGAAUCUUGCACAAUGGGCGAAAGCCUGAUGCAGCGACGCCGCGUGAGCGAAGAAGGCCUCGGUUGUAAGACUCUGUCUGAGGGACGGAAGGAAGUAGACGGUACCGUCCGGACGGAAGCCGACGGCGUAACUACGUGCCAGCAGCCGCGGUAAGUCUAGUCUACG
rnacentral:rRNA from 1 species